rnacentral:rRNA from 1 species
UACGAAGGGGGCUAGCGUUGCUCGGAAUCAUUGGGCGUAAAGGGUGCGUAGGUGGUGGGGUAAGUCGGAUGUGAAAUCCCGGGGCUCAACCCCGGAACUGCAUUCGAUACUGCCUUGCUCGAGUACUGGAGAGGAGACUGGAAUUUACGGUGUAGCAGUGAAAUGCGUAGAUAUCGUAAGGAAGACCAGUGGCGAAGGCGAGUCUCUGGACAGUUACUGACACUGAGGCACGAAGGCCAAGGGAGCAAACGGG